GAAGCGGCAACAGCUCAAAUUUGAAAUCUGGCGCCCGCCCGAGUUGUAAUUUGGAGAGGAUGCCUCGGGGGGGCGGGCCGGUCUAAGUUCCUUGGGAUGGGACGUCACAGAGGGUGAGAGCCCCGUAUGCGACCGGUCGGCCCCCGCCACGUGGCUCCUUCGACGAGUCGAGUUGUUUGGGAAUGCAGCUCUAAAUGGGAGGUAAAUUUCUUCUAAAGCUAAAUACCGGCCGGAGACCGAUAGCGCACAAGUAGAGUGAUCGAAAGAUGAAAAGCACUUUGGAAAGAGAGUGAAACAGCACGUGAAAUUGUUGAAAGGGAAGCGCAGGCCACCAGACCUGCCGGCGGUGUUCCGUCGGUCUCCUGACCGGCCCACUCGCCGCCGGCAGGCCAGCAUCGCCUGGGCGCGCCGGACAAAGGCGCGGGGAAUGUGGCUCCUCGGAGCGUUAUAGCCCCGCGCGCAAUACGGCGCCGCCCGGGUGAGGUCCGCGCUCUGGCUAGGAUGCUGGCGUAAUGGUGGCCUGCGGCCCGUCUUGAAACACGGACCGAGGAGUCUAACAUCCAUGCGAGUGUUCGGGUGUCAAACCCCUACGCGUAAUGAAAGUGAACGGAGGUGGGAGGCGUGAGCCGCACCAUCGACCGAUCCUGAUGUCGUCGGAUGGAUUUGAGUAGGAGCAUGGCUGUUGGGACCCGAAAGAUGGUGAACUAUGCCUGGAUAGGGUGAAGCCAGAGGAAACUCUGGUGGA
rnacentral:rRNA from 1 species